GUUGAUAUGUUCGAGUGGUUAAGGAGACAGACUUGAAAUCUGUUGGGCUUUGCCUACGCAGGUUCAAACCCUUCUAUCAACG
rfam:Ipomoea nil DNA, scaffold: scaffold3104, cultivar: Tokyo-kokei standard.